AUACUUACCUGGUGUCGGGGCGUCUGUGAUCAAUGAGGCAGAGCCCUCAGGGUGAGGCGCGGCCAUUGCACACCGGGCCGUGUUGACCCCUGCCACUUUCUCAAACUGAGAUAGAUGGGACAUGCAAAUUUUUGGUAGUGGGGGAGCAGCGUUCGCGCUAUCCCCC
rnacentral:snRNA from 2 species